AUUGAACGCUGGCGGCAUGCCUUACACAUGCAAGUCGAACGGCAGCACGGAGCUUGCUCUGGUGGCGAGUGGCGAACGGGUGAGUAAUAUAUCGGAACGUACCCAAGAGUGGGGGAUAACGUAGCGAAAGUUACGCUAAUACCGCAUACGAUCUAAGGAUGAAAGCAGGGGAUCGCAAGACCUUGUGCUCCUGGAGCGGCCGAUAUCUGAUUAGCUAGUUGGUGAGGUAAAGGCUCACCAAGGCAUCGAUCAGUAGCUGGUCUGAGAGGACGACCAGCCACACUGGAACUGAGACACGGUCCAGACUCCUACGGGAGGCAGCAGUGGGGAAUUUUGGACAAUGGGGGCAACCCUGAUCCAGCAAUGCCGCGUGAGUGAAGAAGGCCUUCGGGUUGUAAAGCUCUUUUGUCAGGGAAGAAACGGUGAAGGCUAAUAUCCUUUGCUAAUGACGGUACCUGAAGAAUAAGCACCGGCUAACUACGUGCCAGCCGCCGCGGUAA
rnacentral:rRNA from 1 species